rnacentral:rRNA from 1 species
AGAGUUUGAUCCUAGCUCAGGAUGAACGCUGGCGGCGUGGAUGAGGCAUGCAAGUCAAACGGCCCUUCGGGGCAGUGGCAGACGAGGUAGUAACAUGUGGGAACUUACCCUAGAGUCAGGGAUAACCGGUCGAAAGAUCGGAUAAUACUUGAUAGUCCGGCUAUUUAUUUAGUCGGUAAAGAUUUAUCGCUCUAGGAAAGGCCCGCACAGUAUCAGCUAGUUGGUAAGGUAAUGGCUUACCAAGGCUAUGACGCUUAGGGGAGCUGAGAGGCUGACCCCCACCGAUGGUACUGAGACACGGACCAUACACCUACGGGUGGCUGCAGUCGAGAAUCUUCCGCAAUGGACGAAAGUCUGACGGAGCGACGCCGCGUGAUUGAUGAAGCCCUUCGGGGUGUAAAAAUCUUUUAUGAAGGAGGAAGUUUAUUGACGUUACUUCAUGAAUAAGGGGCUCCAAACUCUGUGCCAGCAGGAGCGGUAAUACAGAGGCCUCGAGCGUUAUCCGGAAUUAUUGGGCGUAAAGGGUGUGUAGGCUGUUUUAUUAGUCUUUUGUUAAAGCUCCGGGCUCAACCCGGUAAAAGCAAAAGAUACGGUAAAACUAGAGGUUGUAAGGGGUGAACAGAACUCAUAGUGUAGGGGUGAAAUCCGUUGAUAUUAUGGGGAAUACCAAAAGCGAAGGCAGUUCACUGGUGCAAUUCUGACGCUGAAACACGAAAGCAUGGGUAGCGAAUGGGAUUAGAUACCCCAGUAGUCCAUGCCCUAAACGUUGUUCUCUAGAUUUGAGGAGCAUCGACCCUCUUCGAGUCGUAGCUAACGCGUUAAGAGAACCGCCUGGGUAGUACGGCCGCAAGGCUAAAACUCAAAGGAAUAGACGGGGGCUUGCACAAGCGGUGGAUCAUGUGGCUUAAUUCGUCGGUACACGAAGAACCUUACCAAGGCUAGACAUCUAAUUGAAAGCUCUAAGAGACUAGAGCCCUCUUCGGACAAUUAGACAGGUGUUGCAUGGCCGUCGUCAGUUCGUGGUUUGAAUUGUUCCCUUAAGUGGGGUAACGAACGCAACCCUCAUCGUGUGUUACAAGUGUCACACGAGACUGCCCUCGCUUUUGAUUUUGAGUUAAUUAAAAAUUAAUCCAAACGCAAAAGUAAUAAAUAUUUUUAUUACUUAUCGAAAUCAAGAGCGAGGGAGGAAGGUGAGGAUGACGCCAGGUCAGCAUGACCCUAGACGCCUUGGGCUGCACACAUGAUACAAUGGGUAGGACAAAAAGACGCAAUAUCGAGAGAUGGAGCAAAUCAAUUAAACCUACCCCCAGUUCGGAUUGAGGUCUGCAACUCGACCUCAUGAAGUUGGAAUCGCUAGUAAUCGUAGGUCAGCUAUACUACGGUGAAUACGUUCUCAAGCCUUGUACUCACCGCCCGUCACAUCAAGGGAAUUGGGAGUACUCGAAAUUCCAACUAGUUUGGAAUAACGGUAAAUUCAAUGACAGGGAUGAAGUCGUAACAAGGCACGGGUAGCGGAAGCUGUUCGUG